GAAUACCUUUGCAGAGCUCCUGACUGAGCUAAGCCAAGCCUGCCAUAUGGAAAGGACUUUUUACCUGUGUCCUGCUUAUCUGCAAGUGUGAAGCAGAAAUUGUGCAAAAUACAUCGUGUUCCUGGGUGCAUAAAAGGCUAAUUUCCAAGAGGAGAUGCCUCACCACAAAAUGUCCCUCUCUGCCCUGCCACAGUUGGUCCUGAUUUGACUGUCUCUGUGGAGAAGCCAAGGAUCAAAUGCUCCAUGGCGCCAGACUGUUUUCUUUUGCAGCCUGCAGGUCACCAGGAUACUUAAGAAGUUUGCGUUAAUUAUACCAUGUUUGCCAUCAAAGAGGGGAUAUUAACCCUUUCGAGCUGCUGCAGGAAGGCAGUGGAGCCAUUUGAAAUGUUGCAGGAACUGCUGAAGCCCCCACUCAGAGAAGCGCGCUCUUCCAGGCGCUGGGGGAUGCACCACCCCUCCCAACAGCCUGAUGGAUUAGGGCCCCACUUCUUUCAGUGGAUGCAACCCAACCAGCAAAGAGGCAGAGAGGCAGCCCCCAGACGUUCCCCUUAGAACGAUGCUUUCCCUCAGCUGUCUCUGCGUCUGGGAUUUGAUGGAUGUGUGAAGCUCAAACUGAUUGUCUCUCUUUUUCCCCUCUCCAGUGAUCUCAGCCUCCUUUCUGCCCUUGCUCCCGGUGGACUCCACCGGGGUGGGUGCCUGAGACAGCAGGCGCUGGCUGCAUGUGGAUGUGGUGGCCACACUGCCCAAAGUUUACCCAAGCAGCUAAUCUGCAUUUUUAAGCGACAGCUGCCAACACAACAGAACAAAAUGCUUCAACCUCCAGAGUCUGCGAGCAGGAUGGUUUUUGUGCCCCAUUACAGUUUUGGCUGUGCUAGAACUUCUACAGGCAUUUACCAAGAUUGUGUUGCAGCUCUCACCCCUUGCUAGUGCAGGAUUGCCUUCCCCCGAGUUUUUUCCCAGCAAGUUUGUCUGACCUAGGUUGUCUGGUUUGAGGAACAAUAGGGUAGUUGGGAGAGGGGCUCUUUUUUAAAAUAAAUAUUUCAUGUUAGGGAGAAGAAUGAAGGAAUUGUGUCAAAAUAAUCACCAUCUUGGGUAUAUUAAAAUCCCGUAUUACGGCUACAUUUUUGCUUUGUUCCUGGCCCUCGCAAUCUUUUCCCCCUUCCUGGUAACUUUGGUAUGGAAGAUAGAUGGAGCUAAUCCAAGAGGGCUGUUGAGUAAAUUUCCCCUCUCCUUGUUUUGAAGGCAGCUUUUCUUACAGGGUAGCCAUUGCAAAUGACAGCACACAAACAUGCAAUCAGAGGGGUUGAGGCUUUUUGUGGAAAAUAAAAUAAAUAUGACUUUGUGUCUGAUUUUAAAA